GACAGAGGUGCCGAGCGUUAGGCGGAAUUACUGGGCGUAAAGGGCUCGUAGGCGGCCAACUAAGUCGGACGUGAAAUCCCUCAGCUUAACUGGGGAACUGCGUCCGAUACUGGAUGGCUUGGAUUUGGGAGAGGGAUGCGGAAUUCCAGGUGUAGCGGUGAAAUGCGUAGAUAUCUGGAGGAACACCGGUGGCGAAGGCGGCAUCCUGGACCAAUAUUGACGCUGAGGAGCGAAAGCCAGGGGAGCAAACGGG
rnacentral:rRNA from 1 species